rnacentral:tRNA from 1 species
GCCGGGGUAGCCAAGCCAGGCCAAAGGCGACGGAUUCAAGACCCGUUCCCGCAGGGGUUCCUGGGUUCAAAUCCCAGCCCCGGCA